ACAUUUUAUUGUGUGAAAAGUCCUCAAGUGUUCAUUGUGUUGUCUUUUUAUUACUGAUUGAUUUGUAGGAAGUCUUUAUUCUGCACACAAAUCCUUUGUCAGGUCUUUAUUAAUGUCCAUAAGAGUUUAAGGAAUGUGUGAAUAUCCAUGCAUUUAGGUUUUAGUUAUAGGGAUUUAAGGCAAAACAUUGUAUCAUUGCGAACAUUCUUAUGUAAGCAGUUUUGCUAAAAUAAAUUAUAGUAGUAUAUUUUUAACUAUCACAAAAUGCUUUAAUUAAACUACUGUGUAACCAUCCCAACUGGAAUAUUUGGAGAAUACAAAAAUUCUGUUUUCCUAAAAGGGAAAGAGAAUCACAGCAACAUGCUUUGUGAGAAGGAAAUGAUAUUUUAAAAUGAAAGAGAUUAAUGUGACGUCUGUAUUUUAUUGGAGAAGACUCUUUUUUUUUUUUCUCAUUUCAUACAUGAUAUUUUACAUGUUUCCAUGAUGUCUGUAUUUUAAAGAGCUUGAAGGAAAGAAAGAAAAACCUCAGAACUUGUAAGUUUGACGGGCUUGAAGGCAAAAAGCUUAAGCCAUUGUUGAAGGGCAGAGAGCAGAAAACCUUGAACGUACAGUCUAAUCGGAGAUACUUCAGAUGGAAGCCCUGUUAAAGCCAUCUGGUUCCCUGAACUAGUGACACUGCAGGCUGGAUAUGGUGGAAGGAGCAGUUUGUCCUCCAGAAAGCAUCAAGAAGCUCUGGCUCUUAGAAUUUUUCCACAGACAGAAGGAGGCAGAGGACAUGGGGACAAGGACUGUAGGGUCCUGCUCCAUUUCAGACAAAGAAGUAGACAAAAGUCCAAAAACGUCAGUAAUUCCAAGAGUGUGAACAAGCAGAUGCUGGCAAGCAGGUAAAAGUAGGAAACCAACUGCCUUCCUGUGGGUUUUUUGGCGUGGGUUGGUUUUAUUGUUUUAAUUAUUUUGUUGUGUUUAGCCCUCCCCAGCUCAAGUCUCGAAAGAACUCUUGUCUCAGAAUUGCUCUGUCUCCCCGUGGCAUAAAACAUCAUCACAGCUGUGAUACCGUCUUAUGUCCCCUCUUACCUGCCUGGAACCAUUCGCCUCUCAGUUCAUACCCAUGAGUUUCAGAGUGGAAGCAAGGUUUCCAGACAAUGAAGACUGCUCAUACUAAGUGAAGUAAGUCAGAAAGGGAAAGACAAAUACCAUAUCAUUUAUAUGUGGAAUCUAACAUACAACACAAGUGAACUUACCUACAAAACAAAACAGACUCGCAGGCUAGAGAACACACUUGUGGUUGCCAAGGCGGGGAGGGUUCGGGAGGGGUGGACUAAGUUUGGGAUUAGC
ensembl:lncRNA